rnacentral:misc_RNA from 1 species
AACAUCGCGCACCUGCGGGAACCUGCGGAGGGAUCAUUAAUGAUUGGUGGCUGUUGCUGACUAGUGUUUCUAGUAUGUGCACGCCACACCUUCAAUCCCACUUACACCUGUGCAUCUUCUGUAAUAGAUCUAUGUGGAUACGGAGAUAUGAAAGUUUGCGCUCUCGUACUCUGUUGAAGCAGUCUACUACGUUUUUUUACACACACACAAUAGUCAUUGAAUGUAUUUUUUAUUCUUAUG